rnacentral:rRNA from 1 species
UACGUAGGGUGCAAGCGUUGUCCGGAAUUAUUGGGCGUAAAGAGCUCGUAGGCGGUCUGUCGCGUCUGCUGUGAAAACUCAGGCUUAACCCUGAGCUUGCAGUGGGUACGGGCAGACUAGAGUGCGGUAGGGGAGACUGGAAUUCCGAGGUGAUAGCGGUGAAAUGACGUAGAUAUCGUGGAGGAACACCGGUGCGAAGGCGGCGUUCUGGACUGUCUCUGA